rnacentral:rRNA from 1 species
CUAUGGCAAUCCCGUAAGGGAUUGGGUAGGGGAGCGUUCCAAGGACAGCGAAGCUAGAUCGUGAGGACUAGUGGAGUGCUUGGAAGUGAGAAUGCCGGUAUGAGUAGCGAAAAGAUAGGUGAGAAUCCUAUCCGUCGAAAGCCCAAGGUUUCCUGAGGAAGGCUCGUCCGCUCAGGGUUAGUCGGGACCUAAGCCGAGGCCGAAAG